AAGCCCUAAUUAAUUUCCCCUUCACCGCAUCCACUCCUUCCCUCAGCCGCCACUCACCAUCCCCAAUUCCCCAUCUUUCUCGCGCUAGAAGCAGCACCGCCGCCUCCCAGUGCCGCCACCCUGGAUCCCCCACGCAUGCCGCCGCUCUAGAUCCCCACCCAUGCCUCCGCCUAGUGCCGUCGCCCCCGCAUCCACCACCCAUGGCGCCAUCUUCGGAUCCCCCAUCCACGCCGCCGUUGGAGGUCAGCGGCAAGUUCACAAGCGACCUUCGUGAACGGCCUGGCGAUCUUGCUUCCGUCCAUAGCACACAGUAGACGUUGGCGUCGGCAGGUUCGUUCACCAUGGCGGCUGCGCUGGUGGGGUGAGCCUGGCCUUCGAUGCGCUCUACCCGCCUUUCAACCCUCGUUGCGUGCUCCCGCCAUCACGGGCAGGCCUGUAGGGAGCGGAAGCGGAUGUUAUUGUGGUCACCGUUAAGAGAGUGCUUUUUUGGCCCACUACCAAAGAAAAAUGGUGGGUUCCUACUUGAUUAAAACUAUCAUUUUUGUUCUUUUUUUUCCAGAAAAGGCAAAACCGCUCAAGAUUCUGCUCUUCUUCAGAAUAUUCACAAGUCGCUCCUCCACUCAGGGGACAUGAUGCCGUCCCACUGUCCCUUCAUUGUGAUGCUGCCGUGGACACGCAUAUUGGGCUGCACUCUUAGGAUGGACACCAAGAUUGGCUUCCUCUCGCCAGCGCUGGGGCUGUGAGGAGCAUGAGGUAUUGCGGCCUCAUGUUGUUAUUGCUAGAGUAAUCUUUGUAAAUUCUAUCUUGACUUUUUGUAAGAAAGGAUUGCUAUUGCAGUGCAAUUGUUCUAGGUGGUGUAGUAUCUUGGCACCUUGUUAGGAUUAACAUGAUAUGCCAUUUAUUGUCUCUCUAAUGAAUACAUACUACAGUACUUGCUCUUUCUAGUGUUAGUUUGGGUUUGCAGACCAUCUAUCCUCAUAAUCUGUUUACAAGAUUGUUGUCUUGAAAAAUAUGGAAUUUUUUUAUGUGAAGAAGCAUUAAUGCAUUUUAGGACUCGACGAGUUGUGUGGCCUUUGAAAAAAUUGGCCUCCUCGCGUGAAUGUGUUGCUUGUUCUUUGUAUUUCUGCAAGACGAAGGUUUGGUAACUGAUCUGAUUGGUAUGUCUAUGACGUUCUUGUGUCCGUAUAUUCUUCAGUGGAAUAAUUGUUGUAUUAUUCUGACUAGCUCUUACUUUCAGGUGGUUGUCAAAAUACACUAUGGAACAUAAAUACUUGUGAGAUGUAUUAAUUAAUUAGUUGCUUCUUUUUUCAGGUUAUUGUAUACUGCUCUUGCACUCACAAGUUUAUAGAUCUGUGUUUUGUCAGCUAAACGGAUCUAUUGCUAGAAUCUAAGGAAGUUUUUGGACAUUUUAAUAUCUAUCUGAUGAAGUAGCACUCUAGGAUGGAUCUGUUUCUAACUGAAACCAGAUGUUGUAUUUAGUGAUGUUGCAUUUGUAGGACAUAUGGCCAUCCCAUGUAGGAGUAUGUAUGUAUGGAUGAUGGAUUGUUGUCCUUUUGGCUAUGAGGUAGUACAGGACUUGUGAACCUACAAAUGUAUUUCUAAUUAUGUAUGUCGUGAUGUAGUAUUGGACCUGUGAACCUACAGAUGUAUAGCUAUGUAUUGUUGAGAUAUGUAUUGUUGUUAUAUAUACGAUACAACCUAAUUACUCUA